rnacentral:tRNA from 1 species
GUAGUCGUGGCCGAGUGGUUAAGGUGACAGACUUGAAAUCUGUUGGGAUAUUCCCGCGCAGGUUCAAAUCCUGCCGACUACA